UUGCUGAACUGCACCCUGCAUGUUCUACAGUGAAGGUGUUGAACUGUAACCUGAACAUUUUUCUGUUGCAUUUUUGUUGGGAAUGCAUAGUGCUUUAAGACCAGUAACAUCAUUUUUCAUAAUUUAAAAAAACUAAUGUAUAUACAUAACUUACCUACAAUAUGCUGAUCUUUCCUGCUGUAAGGGUAAGAGGUUGGAGAAAUCUCAAACUGGCACUGUCCCAUGGUGUCCAAGGGGUCUCUGCCAUCUUCUUCCUUGUUCUUCUUCAUCUUCUGUACGUGCGCGCUGCUGUGGCUCUCUUCCGGGACCAACUUCCUGUUUUGUGACAUCACUUCCGGAAGUGACGUCACAUAGCAACCGAGUUUUCAGAUGGCGUCGGUAGUGCGGCUUCAUUUCCCGGCUGCAUCUCCAAGGGAGCGGAUGCUUAUUUUGGCUGCUCUCUCUUCACUGCUGACAGGAACAGGCUGCUGACAGGAACAGGCUGCUGACAGGAAUGCUGAAUCUUCACACAGGACAGGAUCACUGCUUCACUUUUGGGUCACCUGAGGGAUUGGAUACUUCAUCUGGAUCGCUCCACCUAGAUCGCUUUGCUUGGAUCGUCUUCACAGAUCGAAUCUGUUGCAUCUUCCUGACUUCAACUUGGAUCGCUUCACUUCUACUAUUAUUGGAUACAUUGGGAGCUCACAGGGAUUUGAUCGCUUCUUCUGGAAUGCUUCACUUGGAUCUCUUCUUCUGGAACACUUCACUUGGAUCACGUUACUUGGAUCAUCUUCACAGAUCGAAUCGGUUGCAUCUUCCUGGUUUCCAGAGUUCCUUUGACAUUCAACUCUGCAUCAAUUUCGGGUCCCCACUGAUCUGAGGGAGUGGAUUGCUUCUUCUGGAUCACUUUGUCUGGAUUGCUUCUUCUGGAACACUUCACUUGGAUAGUGUUACUUGGAUCAUCUUCGCAGAUCGAAUCGGUUGCAUCUUUCCAGGUUUUCUUUGACAGUCAACUGGACUUCACUGAUCUGAGGUCUGUUAUUUUGGUACUACUUGUGUGAUGGGCAUUUCUUCGAAUUGAUGUAUUUCAUCAGGUCUGGGGUCAGUCACUACUAUUAUAGUAUUCACUGGGGGGUGGGGGGCCUGCUAUAACUAAAGGCAUCACUUACAAAUAAUAAAUUAUAUUGUUCUUUACAUAUUUUGUGGUAAAUAUAUCAAUAAAAUAUUAUAAAAGACACAAUGAACUGCAUUUUACUAGUGUGUUUUUUGGGGGAAGGGCUGCUACUACUUACAUUCUUUGGAGGGGGUGGAACAUAGUCUGGGAUCUGUUAUUACUGUAAUGGGGCCAAAGGUCUGGGGUCUGCUACAAUUAUUAUUAUUUCAUACAUGGGUGGGACACAUGGUCUGGGGUCUGCUAUAACAAUAAGUGCAUCACUGAAAAAUAUUACUGAUAAAUGUUAUUGUUCUUUACACAUUUCCUGUCAAAUAUACAGUAUAAAUAAAAUGUUAUAAAUAGACACAAUGAACUGUGUUUUACUAGUGUUUUAUUAUCAAAACAAUGGUGAAGGGAGGAGUCAAGGCAGAGAUUAUCGGGGUCACUUCCACAUGGUGCAAGUGUGUGGGUACACCGUUGUAGGUGUAUACUAUAACAAUGCUGAUUUUGGGUACAUGCUUACAUAUUUUUUUUUCUUAGUAGAAAUCAUGCCCAGCUGCAUUGUGAGUGGCUGCUCUCACUGCAGUCCUCUAAAGGCAUCAUAAUGCACAACUUUCCAGUAUGUCUAAUGAAGAUUAAAAGGUGGCUUCGUCAGAUCGCACUACAUACAAAUCAACAUUUUGGUGAGAUUGACGGAUUUGCCCAAACGAUAUUGGAUAACAAGAAAGUGAGUUCUUAUCGUGU